rnacentral:tRNA from 1 species
GCCCAGGUGGUGGAAUUGGUAGACACACUAUCUUGAGGUGGUAGCGCCGAAUGGCGUGGGAGUUCGAGUCUCCCCCUGGGCACCA